CCUACGGGUGGCAGCAGUGGGGGAUAUUGCACAAUGGGGGAAACCCUGAUGCAGCGACGCAGCGUGUGGGAAGACGGUCCUCUGGAUUGUAAACCACUGUCCUCAGGGACUAAGAUGACGCUACCUGGGGAGUAAGCUCCGGCUAACUACUUGCCGGCAGCCUCGGUCAUACGUAGGGAGCGAGCGUUGUCGGGAAUUCCUGGGUGUAAAGGGAGCGUAGGCGGGGAUGAAAGUUGGGUGUAAAAACUACCGGCUAAACGGGUAGUCGCAAUUAAAACUGCAAGUCUUGAGUGAAGUAGAGGCAGGCGGAAUUCCUAGUGUAGCGGUGAAAUGCGUAGAUAUUAGGAGGAACACCAGUGGCGAAGGCGGCCUGCUGGGCUUUUACUGACGCUGAGGCUCGAAAGUGUGGGGAGCAAACAGGAUUAGAUACCCGGGUAGUC
rnacentral:rRNA from 1 species